GCCAGCUUGGCCCUGAGGAGAGGGGCUGGCUCCUUUCUGAGGCAGGGGAUAGAGCUGAGGAUGUGCUGGUUUGCUGUGCUGCUUUGAGAGACCAAGGGCACAGAAAGAGCAUCACUCAUUGCUGAGCAGCAGCUGCCUCCACCCUCAGCCCUGCUCUUGCUCCACCUGGAUGUGGUCUCUCCUCUCUUUUCCUCAUCACUCAGGGGCAGAUGAAGACAUCCAUCUCAAGAGUGAUGAAACCCUGUCCUCUGCACACCCCUGAGGGGCUGCAAGAAGAGACAUGGGGAGGUGACAUUCUUUCUGUUCUGACACCAGGGUCCUCCAAGGGCUGUCAGUACCAGCUCAAAGAACACAGGAGGAGCAGAAAUCCACCCUGGUUUGUGGGCCUCUGAAGAAUGAACAUACUUCUGGAAAGUGCCUGGAGAGAGCAGUUUCUUCAACAGGUGUGGAGCUUCCAGUGAAUCCACUCUGCUGCACCUCUGGGACACUCUGGGAUGUCAAUGCCAUGUACAGCUGCCAAGGGAAACUGCUGUGGAAACCCACAAACUGCACUUUUGUUCUCUGCCAGCAUCACAUGCAGCCUGAGUAAUAUUUGUGCUGUUUCCAUUUUAAGAGAUUGAGUGUGUUGGGUGUUUCCAGCAGGCGGGCAAACCACGUCUCUGCAGUAUCAUGGCUUUUGUUGGUGACAGUUUCCAUGGUGUUGGUGUUCCCUCAGCCUCAGAGUUAGCACAGUUUCAUUAUCUCCAAAGAUGGUGUUUAAAUUGCCCAUCUCAUUAAUAAAUUAGACCUUGGUAAUUAUGGGCUUUUCUAAAUAAUCUAAUAAGGAUGCUUCUGCUUUGAUGAGGAGAGUUUAACUGUAAAAGCAAGAUUUAUAAUGUGCUCACAGGAACUGGGAUCAACAGGAAUGCCUUGCCUGGAGACUGAAGGUUCUCUCUGCCCUGUGCAGUUAAAGCCCAACUUCUAGAUGGGCAAAGGAGCUACUGCUUUAAAUGCAUUAAAGCCACCAGGUCUCUGAAACACAUCAGCAUUUGCUUGUGCAGAGACAGAAGCAUCAAACCUGUGCUGGAAAAGCUCCCUGCCCAAGGUUUGUAGGGGAUAAUUCUGCUCUAAGUCUGCUUGCCAAGCCAAAAUGCAGUGAUGGUAUCAUGAUACUGACUUACAAAUCAUGAGCUGUGUAGAAAGUAAUAUAACCAGUGGUUUGUUUGGGUUUUGGGUUUUAUUUUUUUUCCUUUUAGGA